ensembl:lncRNA
CAGCCUGAGCGGGGGGGUACCUGUAACUUUCUUCUGCCGCCGUCUUUGCGGGUUUUCCGUCUCAUACGCGCAACACUGUAGCCGGAGAGGCGCGCGCUCGAGGAGCCCCGCAUCGUGCAGAUACGCGCAGCGCUCCAACUCGAGACCACCCACGACCCCUGCCUCGGAGGAGCCGCAGGAGCUCACCGCGUGGACUCAAGACACCCGCAGGGGGAGCGGUUUGAUUUCCCCACCGCCGGCCACCGGACCAACUGGGAUUGUAACACCCCGCCCCGCUGGGAUUUCUGCCAUGUCAGGUGCACGGGACUGCAGAUGGGCCGUCCUCGUCUCUGUGGCGGCGCUUUCGUGUGGCGUUAAAGCGAUCCGACCUUUUGAAGGAACCCUUCUCGGUGUCUCCAUUGGUCGGGUUGGAUCGGGGGCCACGCAACGCGGUUGUGCGCCUACGAAUGGAAAGAAUCGUGUUAAUUACCGGAACGUCCCGAACACGCGCGGGAGGAAUACGACUUUCGGGAAAGGAGGGAGCAAAAAAAAUAAAAAUAAAAUAAACACACCAACUCACUGAUACGACGCCACAGUUUUGUGUGUUUCUUGCGUCGCGUCACUCACCCGCCACGGCUCCGUGUACGUCCUGUCGGUCCGCCGCUGUUGCCAAAACACCAGGAAACCGGCGGGGGGCUUUGAUGAGGUGCCACUUAAAUGUAAUCCAGAAGUAAUCCGUCUGUGCCGAUGCUUUGACCUCUGCAGUAAUCCCGUCGUACAUCACAGUAAUCCGCAGGGUUUUAUUCUCUUGGGCGCUUGUUCCUGUUUUUUGUUUAAUGCUUCUUUUGUUUUUUUUUAAGAAGUUCUUCUUUAUCAGAGUGUUGAUCGAGAAAUGCACUUUACACAGGUAAGCAUGACUGAUCAAUAAUGGAUCAAUGAAGAAGGGCACUGGAGGGACGUGUGGCGUCGUGGGAAAUGAUUGAAUUUUGGG